rnacentral:rRNA from 1 species
GGUUAAGCGACUAAGCGUACACGGUGGAUGCCCUGGCAGUCAGAGGCGAUGAAGGGCGUGCUAAUCUGCGAUAAGCGCCGGUAAGGUGAUAUGAACCGUUAUAACCGGCGAUACCCGAAUGGGGAAACCCAGUGUGAUUCGUCACACUAUCAUUAACUGAAUCCAUAGGUUAAUGAGGCGAACCGGGGGAACUGAAACAUCUAAGUACCCCGAGGAAAAGAAAUCAACCGAGAUUCCCCCAGUAGCGGCGAGCGAACGGGGAGGAGCCCAGAGCCUGAAUCAGCAUGUGUGUUAGUGGAAGCGUCUGGAAAGGCGCGCGAUACAGGGUGACAGCCCCGUACACAAAAGCGCAUGUGCUGUGAGCUCGAUGAGUAGGGCGGGACACGUGGUAUCCUGUCUGAAUAUGGGGGGACCAUCCUCCAAGGCUAAAUACUCCUGACUGACCGAUAGUGAACCAGUACCGUGAGGGAAAGGCGAAAAGAACCCCGGCGAGGGGAGUGAAAAAGAACCUGAAACCGUGUACGUACAAGCAGUGGGAGCACAGGUUUACCUGUGUGACUGCGUACCUUUUGUAUAAUGGGUCAGCGACUUAUAUUCUGUAGCAAGGUUAACCGUAUAGGGGAGCCGCAGGGAAACCGAGUCUUAAUUGGGCGUUAAGUUGCAGGGUAUAGACCCGAAACCCGGUGAUCUAGCCAUGGGCAGGUUGAAGGUUGGGUAACACUAACUGGAGGACCGAACCGACUAAUGUUGAAAAAUUAGCGGAUGACCUGUGGCUGGGGGUGAAAGGCCAAUCAAACCGGGAGAUAGCUGGUUCUCCCCGAAAGCUAUUUAGGUAGCGCCUCGUGAAUUCAUCUCCGGGGGUAGAGCACUGUUUCGGCUAGGGGGCCAUCCCGGCUUACCAACCCGAUGCAAACUGCGAAUACCGGAGAAUGUUAUCACGGGAGACACACGGCGGGUGCUAACGUCCGUCGUGAAGAGGGAAACAACCCAGACCGCCAGCUAAGGUCCCAAAGUCAUGGUUAAGUGGGAAACGAUGUGGGAAGGCCCAGACAGCCAGGAUGUUGGCUUAGAAGCAGCCAUCAUUUAAAGAAAGCGUAAUAGCUCACUGGUCGAGUCGGCCUGCGCGGAAGAUGUAACGGGGCUAAACCAUGCACCGAAGCUGCGGCAGCGAACGUAUCACUUAAAGCGAUUCAGCGGGUUACGAUUGACGGAGCGAAGCGACGUCAAAGCGUAUACAAAGUCGAGUCGGUUUAAGGAUACGUUCGUUGGGUAGGGGAGCGUUCUGUAAGCCUGUGAAGGUGGCCUGUGAGGGUUGCUGGAGGUAUCAGAAGUGCGAAUGCUGACAUAAGUAACGAUAAAGCGGGUGAAAAGCCCGCUCGCCGGAAGACCAAGGGUUCCUGUCCAACGUUAAUCGGGGCAGGGUGAGUCGACCCCUAAGGCGAGGCCGAAAGGCGUAGUCGAUGGGAAACGGGUUAAUAUUCCCGUACUUGGUGUUACUGCGAAGGGGGGACGGAGAAGGCUAUGUUGGCCGGGCGACGGUUGUCCCGGUUUAAGCGUGUAGGUGUGUGUUCCAGGUAAAUCCGGUUCACUUUAACACUGAGGCGUGAUGACGAGGCACUACGGUGCUGAAGCAACAAAUGCCCUGCUUCCAGGAAAAGCCUCUAAGCAUCAGGUAACAUCAAAUCGUACCCCAAACCGACACAGGUGGUCAGGUAGAGAAUACCAAGGCGCUUGAGAGAACUCGGGUGAAGGAACUAGGCAAAAUGGUGCCGUAACUUCGGGAGAAGGCACGCUGACAUGUAGGUGAAGUGAUUUACUCAUGGAGCUGAAGUCAGUCGAAGAUACCAGCUGGCUGCAACUGUUUAUUAAAAACACAGCACUGUGCAAACACGAAAGUGGACGUAUACGGUGUGACGCCUGCCCGGUGCCGGAAGGUUAAUUGAUGGGGUCAGCGCAAGCGAAGCUCCUGAUCGAAGCCCCGGUAAACGGCGGCCGUAACUAUAACGGUCCUAAGGUAGCGAAAUUCCUUGUCGGGUAAGUUCCGACCUGCACGAAUGGCGUAAUGAUGGCCAGGCUGUCUCCACCCGAGACUCAGUGAAAUUGAACUCGCUGUGAAGAUGCAGUGUACCCGCGGCAAGACGGAAAGACCCCGUGAACCUUUACUAUAGCUUGACACUGAACAUUGAGCCUUGAUGUGUAGGAUAGGUGGGAGGCUUUGAAGCGUGGACGCCAGUCUGCGUGGAGCCGGCCUUGAAAUACCACCCUUUAAUGUUUGAUGUUCUAACGUGGACCCGUGAUCCGGGUUGCGGACAGUGUCUGGUGGGUAGUUUGACUGGGGCGGUCUCCUCCUAAAGAGUAACGGAGGAGCACGAAGGUUGGCUAAUCCUGGUCGGACAUCAGGAGGUUAGUGCAAUGGCAUAAGCCAGCUUGACUGCGAGCGUGACGGCGCGAGCAGGUGCGAAAGCAGGUCAUAGUGAUCCGGUGGUUCUGAAUGGAAGGGCCAUCGCUCAACGGAUAAAAGGUACUCCGGGGAUAACAGGCUGAUACCGCCCAAGAGUUCAUAUCGACGGCGGUGUUUGGCACCUCGAUGUCGGCUCAUCACAUCCUGGGGCUGAAGUAGGUCCCAAGGGUAUGGCUGUUCGCCAUUUAAAGUGGUACGCGAGCUGGGUUUAGAACGUCGUGAGACAGUUCGGUCCCUAUCUGCCGUGGGCGCUGGAGAACUGAGGGGGGCUGCUCCUAGUACGAGAGGACCGGAGUGGACGCAUCACUGGUGUUCGGGUUGUCAUGCCAAUGGCACUGCCCGGUAGCUAAAUGCGGAAGAGAUAAGUGCUGAAAGCAUCUAAGCACGAAACUUGCCCCGAGAUGAGUUCUCCCUGAGACUUAAAGUCUCCUGAAGGAACGUUGAAGACGACGACGUUGAUAGGCCGGGUGUGUAAGCGCAGCGAUGCGUUGAGCUAACCGGUACUAAUGAACCGUGAGGCUUAACCUU